UACGUAGGGUGCAAGCGUUGUCCGGAAUUAUUGGGCGUAAAGAGCUCGUAGGCGGUCUGUCACGUCGGCUGUGAAAUCCCGAGGCUCAACCUCGGGUCUGCAGUCGAUACGGGCAAACUAGAGUAUUGCAGGGGAGACUGGAAUUCCUGGUGUAGCGGUGAAAUGCGCAGAUAUCAGGAGGAACACCGGUGGCGAAGGCGGGUCUCUGGGCAAUAACUGACGCUGGAGGAGCGAAAGCGUGGGGGAGCGAACAGG
rnacentral:rRNA from 1 species